CAAACCUGACAGAGAGACAGGUGGACUUCAGGUCCCACCCACAGGGCUGGCCCACGCUCCACACUGUUCUCCAUCAUAGCAAAGAAUGAUGCCCAAUGCAUUCAGCGAAUGGCUUGUGUGACAAACCAUAGAUGCCUGACUUCUGUGAGCAUCCGAGGCAAAAGUGGAAUUGCUGGGUCCUGCAGCCAUUCUACAGUUAACAUUUUAAAGAACCACCCUGGCCCAAUCUUAAGGCACGCCAAUACUUGUUGAACGAGUCUCGGCCUUUGGAGGUGCUGGCUCCGUGUUCUGGAGAGGGGUCCACAGACGUGGAUUUUUAACACAUGCCCAGCUCCAGCUCUUCAUCUGAGUCCAGUAAGAGGAUGACCUCAUCUUCUUUGUUCAGUUUGGAUGAAGAUUUCUGAGAUCUGGAACUUGAAUGGUCAGGAUUUGACUGGGUUAGGUCAAUUGACAGAGAUUUUUCUGGGGAC